rnacentral:sRNA from 1 species
UUUCGAACUCCUCAUUCUAUUCAGCACAGCCAAAUAUACCUCUCAAAAUGCAUCUCCAAUUGCAGUUAGAGUUAGCAAACUUCCAGUGGGUCCCAAGGUAUUGACUCCGCCAUAUCGACAUAAGGAUAAAAGGUCAAUCCAGUCUCUUUGUAAGGGUCAUCCUUGGAAAGAAGGUUAUAGAUUUCACGCUCCUUCCUUUGAAGUUCAAAUGUACUUCCAUCUUUCACACAUGAUGGCAACCAUUGCUCAGAAGAUUGUUUUAGUCCUUCGGUGAUCUUGCAAGAUAGCUCGUUGGCUAUCGAAAUUCGACGUGUCCUCUCAUUGUCAGUAACACUCGAAUGGGUGGGAGCUAGAGACGUGAAGAAGGCCCUUUCGACCUUAUUGGUGUCAGGAUUGAAGACCGAAGAAGAAAUGACAUAUGAUUUGGCCGUCGAAGGCUGGCGUGUAUUACAGUCCUCCUCGAUAUCCUUUUGCUCCAGGAUACCAAAGGCUUCGGCUGCUCUUCUCUCGUUGCAAAUAGGUGGGUCUGAACUAUCCCAUGAUUGCACCGACGUUUCGGACUUGCUUUGCGUAGAAGGGAACAUCCUGGCGGAAGUUCUGUAUAGUGUUGAUCUUUCGAAGGUACAGAAAGGGAACGAGUGCUGGGCGGCAGUCUUGGGUAGUUGUAUCUUAUGUAAGUACUAUAAAUCCCGACGAAAUUUGCAUAUUGGCAGUAUCUCA